rnacentral:rRNA from 1 species
CAGCAGCCGCGGGAAUACGGAGGGUGCGAGCGUUAAUCGGAAUAACUGGGCGUAAAGGGCACGCAGGCGGUGACUUAAGUGAGGUGUGAAAGCCCCGGGCUUAACCUGGGAAUUGCAUUUCAUACUGGGUCGCUAGAGUACUUUAGGGAGGGGUAGAAUUCCACGUGUAGCGGUGAAAUGCGUAGAGAUGUGGAGGAAUACCGAAGGCGAAGGCAGCCCCUUGGGAAUGUACUGACGCUCAUGUGCGAAAGCGUGGGGAGCAAACAGGAUUAGAGACCCCCGUAGUCCCUGUCUCUUAUAC